rnacentral:lncRNA from 1 species
UGCUAUGAAUAUCAUCCUAUUCCCUGGUGGUGUUUGGGGAACCUCUUUUCCCUUCUCUCCCGGGUAGAUUCGCCUGCAGUGAGUGGGAGUUCUGUGGCUCCUGGGGUCAUCGGCUGAGUCCCUCUCCGGCUUCUCCUUCCUGACUGUGAAUUGCUGUGUGGCCACGCUUGGGUGUGUCUCUCUCCAUUCUCUGUUGCUCGUGGCAGCUGUCGCUUUGGAGUCAUGAUUCCAGUUGGAACUGAGAAGCAGAGAUGGGGUUUCACCAUGUUGGCCAGGGUGGUCUUGAACUCCUGACCUCAGGUGAUCCGCCCAUCUCGGUCUCCCAAAGUGCUGGGAUUACUGGUGUGAACCACUGCGCCCGGCCAACAUUUCACUUUCUAAAGCCACAUUUUUAAGGUACGCAGCCCACGCUUCAUGCCGGGCCUGGGAGGGGGUUCCUGGUUGUAAACCUGUCUCUGACCUCCC